GAUGAAGAACGUAGCGAAAUGCGAUAAGUAAUGUGAAUUGCAGAAUUCAGUGAAUCAUCGAAUCUUUGAACGCACAUUGCGCCCGCCAGUAUUCUGGCGGGCAUGCCUGUUCGAGCGUCAUUUCAACCAUCAAGCCCCCGGCUUGUGUUGGGGACCUGCGGCUGCCGCAGGCCCUGAAAAGCAGUGGCGGGCUCGCUGUCACACCGAGCGUAGUAGCAUACAUCUCGCUCUGGGCGUGCUGCGGGUUCCGGCCGUUAAACCACCUUCAUAACCCAAGGUUGACCUCGGAUCAGGUAGGAAGACCCGCUGAACUUAAGCAUAUCGAUAAGCGGAGGA
rnacentral:misc_RNA from 1 species